GCAGAUCUGUAGGCUGUAUUAUAACUAGGGCCCUACCAAAUUCACGGCCACGAAAAACGCAUCACAGACCAUCAAAUGUGGUCUUCCCCCGUGAGAUCUGGUCUUUUGAGUGCUUUCACCCUAUACUACACAGAUUUCAUGGGGGAGACCAGCAUUUGUCAAAUUGGGGGUCCUGACCCAAAAGGGAGUUGCAGGGGGGUCGCAAGGUUAUUGUAGUGGGGUCGCAAUAUUG